rnacentral:lncRNA from 1 species
CCGCGACGAUGUGGCCCUGGAAGGAGUGGGUCACUUUUUUCGCGAAUUGGUCAAGGAGAAGCCAUCUCAAGAUAAGUGGGGUAAAACCCAGGACGCUAUGGAAGCAGCCCUUCUCGUAGAGAAGAACCUGAA